CCCGCUGAACUUAAGCAUAUCAAUAAGCGGAGGAGAAGAAAUCAACAGAGAUUGCCUCAGUAACGGCGAGUGAAGCGGCAAAAGCCCAAAAUGGAAAUCUUGGCGCAAGCCACGAAUUGUAAUCUAUAGAGGUUCAGCUCAACGGGUGGUGGCGCAGAAGUGGCCUCGAACGGUCCGCCAGAGAGGGUGACAGCCCCGUAUGUGGUGCCACCGCUCAACGAGCUGGGUUUCGAAGAGUCGGGUUGUUUAGUAUUGCAGCCCUAAGUGGGAGAUAGACUUCUUCUAAGGCUAAAUAUCUACGGGAAACCGAUAGCGAACAAGUACUGUGAAGGAAAGAUGAAAAGAACUUUGAAAAGAGAGUCAAAAGACUUGAAAUCGUUGAGAAGGAAGGGGUAGACGUUUAUCCUACGGCUGAGGACGGUGUUAGUCGCCAAACCAUUGCAGGCUGAGGAAACGUAAAAGGUCCCGGCUUGCACGUGGGGAAGGGACUGGCUUGGACUCAGUAGUGAGGCAAGAUGGGGUCGUACGGCCUCAAAGGCUGCGUUUGACAGGGGGCCUUCGGGCCUCAGCUGAUGCAAGCCGGAGGAAGUACGGCCUGAGGAAGCUUCGGCGAUCUUGCCAAAAUGGCGUUUACCCACCCGUCUUGAAACACGG
rnacentral:rRNA from 1 species